rnacentral:rRNA from 1 species
CCUACGGGUGGCAGCAGUGGGGAAUAUUGCACAAUGGGGGAAACCCUGAUGCAGCGACGCCGCGUGAGCGAUGAAGUAUUUCGGUAUGUAAAGCUCUAUCAGCAGGGAAGUAAAUGACGGUACCUGUCUAAGAAGCCCCGGCUAACUACGUGCCAGCUGCCGCGGUAAUACGUAGGGGGCAAGCGUUAUCCGGAUUUACUGGGUGUAAAGGGAGCGUAGACGGCUGUGCAAGCCAGAUGUGAAAGCCCGGGGCUCAACCCCGGGACUGCAUUUGGAACUGUGUGGCUGGGGUGUCGGAGAGGCAGGCGGAAUUCCGAGUGUAGCGGUAAAAGGCGUAGAUAUUAGGAGGAACACCAGUGGCGAAGGCGGCCUGCUGGACGAUGACUGACGUUGAGGCUCGAAAGCGUGGGGAGCAAACAGGAUUAGAUACCCGGUAGUC